rnacentral:rRNA from 1 species
GACGAACGCUGGCGGCGUGCUUAACACAUGCAAGUCGAACGAGACGAUUGAAAGCUUGCUUUUAAAAGUCGAGUGGCAAACGGGUGAGUAACGCGUAGACAACCUGCCUUUGAGAUGGGGACAACAGUUCGAAAGGACUGCUAAUACCGAAUGUUGUAUAUUUUCCACAUGGAAGAUAUAUUAAAGAUGGCCUCUAUUUAUAAGCUAUCGAUCAGAGAUGGGUCUGCGUCUGAUUAGCUAGGUGGUUGGGUAACGGCCUACCAAGGCGACGAUCAGUAGACUGUCUGAGAGGAUGAACGGCCACAUUGGGACUGAGACACGGCCCAGACUCCUACGGGAGGCAGCAGUGGGGAAUCUUCCACAAUGGACGAAAGUCUGAUGGAGCAACGCCGCGUGAGUGAAGAAGGGUUUCGGCUCGUAAAGCUCUGUUGUCGGGGACGAAUGUGCAGUAUUUGAAUAAAGUACUGCAAUGACGGUACCUGACGAGGAAGCCACGGCUAACUACGUGCCAGCCGCCGCAGUAA